rnacentral:lncRNA from 1 species
GGGGGGAGGUGUGCCAGGGGUUGGAAUCCCUUUUUUUUUUGGACCAUCAAUGCAUUGGAAUGUGGACAAAUAGUGGAACCCCACUUUUUUCCUGGGUUGGGAACCCCUUUCUUAAAAUGACUGGAUCCGCCCCUGAUAGAUUUGAAUUCAACUUAUAAUUAAAUUCAAUAACAAUAUAAAUGUAUCAAAAGAAUGAAUUUUCU